rfam:Meleagris gallopavo isolate NT-WF06-2002-E0010 breed Aviagen turkey brand Nicholas breeding stock chromosome 3, whole genome shotgun sequence.
CCUUCGAUAGCUCAGCUGGUAGAGCGGAGGACUGUAGGCUCCCUUGACACGGCCAUCCUUAGGUCGCUGGUUCAACUCCGGCUCGAAGGA